rnacentral:rRNA from 1 species
AAUGCGUAGGAAUCUACCUAGUAGUACGGAAUAGCCAUUAGAAAUGGUGGGUAAUACUGUAUAAUCCCCGAGGGGGAAAGAUUUAUCGCUAUUAGAUGAGCCUACGUUAGAUUAGCUAGUUGGUGAGGUAAUGGCUUACCAAGGCUAUGAUCUAUAGCUGGUCUGAGAGGACGAUCAGCCACACUGGAACUGAGAUACGGUCCAGACUCCUACGGGAGGCAGCAGUGGGGAAUAUUGGACAAUGGGCGAAAGCCUGAUCCAGCUAUGCCGCGUGAGUGAAGAAGGCCUUCGGGUUGUAAAACUCUUUCAAUAGGGAAGAUAAUGACGGUACCUAUAGAAGAAGUCCCGGCAAACUCUGUGCCAGCAGCCGCGGUAAUACGGAGGGGGCAAGCGUUGUUCGGAAUUAUUGGGCGUAAAGGGCACGUAGGUGGACUAGUAAGUUAAAAGUGAAAUACCAAAGCUUAACUUUGGAGCGGCUUUUAAUACUGCUAGACUAGAGGUCGAAAGAGGAUA